rnacentral:rRNA from 1 species
AAGACAGGGUUUUAAGUAAAAGUAAUUAUACCGUGAAACUGCGAAUGGCUCAUUAAAUCAGUUAUCGUUUAUUUGAUAGUACCUUACUACUUGGAUAACCGUGGUAAUUCUAGAGCUAAUACAUGCUUACAACCUCGACUUCGGAAGGGGUGUAUUUAUUAGAUAAAAAACCAACGCCCUUCGGGGCUUCUUGGUGAUUCAUGAUAACUUUACGGAUCGCAUGGCCUUGCGCCGGCGACGGUUCAUUCAAAUUUCUGCCCUAUCAACUUUCGAUGGUAAGGUAUUGGCUUACCAUGGUUUCAACGGGUAACGGGGAAUUAGGGUUCGAUUCCGGAGAGGGAGCCUGAGAAACGGCUACCACAUCCAAGGAAGGCAGCAGGCGCGCAAAUUACCCAAUCCCAAUACGGGGAGGUAGUGACAAUAAAUACUGAUACAGGGCUCUUUUGGGUCUUGUAAUUGGAAUGAGUACAAUUUAAACCUCUUAACGAGGAACAAUUGGAGGGCAAGUCUGGUGCCAGCAGCCGCGGUAAUUCCAGCUCCAAUAGCGUAUAUUAAAGUUGUUGCAGUUAAAAAGCUCGUAGUUGAACCUUGGGUCUGGCUGGCAGGUCCGCCUCACCGCGUGUACUUGUCCGGCCGGGCCUUCCUUCUGGAGAACCUCAUGCCCUUCACUGGGCGUGUUGGGGACCAGGACUUUUACUUUGAAAAAAUUAGAGUGUUCAAAGCAGGCCUUUGCUCGAAUACGUUAGCAUGGAAUAAUAGAAUAGGACGUGCGGUCCUAUUUUGUUGGUUUCUAGGACCGCCGUAAUGAUUAAUAGGGACAGUCGGGGGCAUCAGUAUUCAAUUGUCAGAGGUGAAAUUCUUGGAUUUAUUGAAGACUAACUACUGCGAAAGCAUUUGCCAAGGAUGUUUUCAUUAAUCAGUGAACGAAAGUUAGGGGAUCGAAGACGAUCAGAUACCGUCGUAGUCUUAACCGUAAACUAUGCCGACUAGGGAUCGGGCGAUGUUAUUUUUCUGACUCGCUCGGCACCUUACGAGAAAUCAAAGUUUUGGGUCUGGGGGAGUAGUCCCACC